UCCGUUGGUGAACCAGCGGAGGGAUCAUUACCAGAGUGCCCUAGGCUCUCCAACCCAUUGUGAACUUACCAAACGUUCCCUCGGCGGGCUCAGCGCGCGGUGGCCUCCGGGCCUCCGGGCGUCCGCCGGGGAAAACCAAACCCUGAUUUAAUCGUAUUUCUCUGAGGGGCGAAAGCCCGAAAACAAAAUGAAUCAAAACUUUCAACAACGGAUCUCUUGGCUCUGGCAUCGAUGAAGAACGCAGCGAAAUGCGAUAAGUAAUGUGAAUUGCAGAAUUCAGUGAAUCAUCGAAUCUUUGAACGCACAUUGCGCCCGCCGGCACUCCGGCGGGCAUGCCUGUCCGAGCGUCAUUUCAACCCUCAGGCCCACCCUUCCGGGGGAGCGGGCCUGGUGCUGGGGAUCGGCGGCCCUCGCGGCCCCCGUCCCUCAAAUACAGUGGCGGUCGCGCCGCAGCCUCCCCUGCGUAGUAGCACAACCUCGCACCGGAGAGCGGAACGACCACGCCGUGAAACCCCCAAUUUUUUAAGGUUGACCUCGGAUCAGGUAGGAAUACCCGCUGAACUUAAGCAUAUCAAUAAG
rnacentral:rRNA from 1 species